rnacentral:rRNA from 1 species
UACGGAGGGUGCAAGCGUUGUUCGGAUUUAUUGGGCGUAAAGGGCGUGCAGGCGGUCUUGCAAGUCCGAUGUGAAAGCCCCGGGCUCAACCCGGGAAGUGCAUCGGAAACCGCGAGACUUGAGUACGGGAGAGGGCAGUGGAAUUCCUGGAGUAGGGGUGAAAUGCGUAGAUAUCUGGAGGAAUACCGGUGGCGAAGGCGGCAUCCUGGACCGACAUUGACGCUGAGGAGCGAAAGCUAGGGGAGCAAACGGG